AUCCUUUCCUGUCCGUAGAGAUCUUAGCUGCACUUAAGGUGACCAUAUUCUUGGGGCUCUCUCACUUUGCAAGGGACUAAGAGCUCCCAACGAAAAGGUCACCGAAAGGUGUGCUGUCACAUCACUGUCUGAAAUUUUGUACCUAAGUCCUAGAGACCGAUCCACACCUGACCUGGAGCAAUAUGGUUCACUUAGUACACCUUGUUGUGAGAACUGCCUUCUCUGUGUGCUGUGAAGUGAAAGAAAGCUGGAAAGCUGGAUUCCACACAUCAGAGGGACCCAUCUUCCCUUUUAGUACCACAUCAUCCGAAAAGAGAAAGUGCAGUGGCCAUCAUGCCUGCAGACUACACUCUGCCCCUGCCACCAGAGGAAGAGCCAUCAGGAUCGGUGACCUUAGUAGAGGUCCCUAGUGAAACAGGGAAGCAAUGCUGUCUGCGAUUCUUCAACCUUCAGACUCGUGGGAUAAGAAAGCACAUACUUUGUGGUCUGCCUUUGGGAGCAUUGAUCCUG